UUUUAUUUUUGUUUAUUUCAGCCAUGACUCCUAAUCAUAUCCAAGAAUAUUCACCAGAAAAGGGCCUAAAACCUAUAUUACAUGAAGUGAUAAGUGCAAAAUAUGGAAGUUGUGAUCUUGACUAUUUACAACAAAAGAAAAUAUGGAAAACUACAUGUGAGAGUGAAUACCAGAAAUCAUAUAAAAAAUCAGGCCUUGUUCAUCACCAGAGAAUUUAUACUGGAGAGAAGCCCUAUGCAUAUAAAGAAUGUUGCAAAGCUUUUAGUAAAAAAAAAGGUCUUAUUUACCACAGAGGAACCCACAAUGGAGAGAAGCCCUACAAAUGUAAAGAAUGUGGAAAAACUUUUGGUCAAAAAUCAAACCUUAUUCGCCACAGGAGAACUCACACUGGAGAGAAGCCCUACAAAUGUAAAGAUUGUGGCAAAGCUUUUGGUCGAAAAUCACACCUUAUUUACCACAGCAGAACUCACACUGGAGAGAAGCCCUAUAAAUGUAAAGAUUGUGGCAAAGCUUUUUGUCGAAAAUCAAACCUUAUUUGCCACAGUAGAACUCACAGUGGAGAGAAGCCCUACAAAUGUACAGAAUGUGGCAAAGCUUUUGGUCAAAAAUCACACCUUAUUCGCCACAUGAGAACUCACACUGGAGAGAAGCCCUACAAAUGUAAAGAUUGUGGCAAAGCUUUUGGUCAAAAAUCAAACCUUAUUUGGCACANGAGUUCUGAG
rnacentral:lncRNA from 1 species